rnacentral:rRNA from 1 species
UACGUAGGGUGCAAGCGUUAAUCGGAAUUACUGGGCGUAAAGCGUGCGCAGGCGGUUUUGUAAGUCUGUCGUGAAAUCCCCGGGCUCAACCUGGGAAUGGCGAUGGAGACUGCAAGGCUAGAGUUUGGCAGAGGGGGGGUAGAAUUCCACGUGUAGCAGUGAAAUGCGUAGAUAUGUGGAGGAACACCGAUGGCGAAGGCAGCCCCCCUGGGUCAAAACUGACGCUCAUGCACGAAAGCGUGGGGAGCAAACAGG